rnacentral:lncRNA from 1 species
AAGCAUUUAUUUUAUUUAAUAUGGCAUUUCAACAAAUGUAUAUAAUAUUAAAUGAUGUCUAUACAAUAACAAAAAGACAGAAUCCAUAGGUAAUAGAAAAAAAAAAAUAUGUUUUUUUUUCUUGAUAUUAUCAUUGUUCCAAAAAAUUACUAUUAAAUGUUUGCCGACAUUUUUAGUACAGAUGUAGUCUAGGGUAUUUCUACGGAAGCGUAUUAGGGACAUAGAAAAAAUAAAAGUAGUAGUGAGCUUUUUUUCCAAAGUCGAAAUUUUGACAUUUCAAAUCUAAAAUUUCG